AUUGAACGCUGGCGGCAUGCCUUACACAUGCAAGUCGAACGGUAACAGGUCUUCGGAUGCUGACGAGUGGCGAACGGGUGAGUAAUACAUCGGAACGUGCCUAGUAGUGGGGGAUAACUACUCGAAAGAGUAGCUAAUACCGCAUGAGAACUGAGGUUGAAAGCAGGGGAUCGUAAGACCUUGCGCAACUGGAGCGGCCGAUGGCAGAUUAGGUAGUUGGUGGGAUAAAAGCUUACCAAGCCGACGAUCUGUAGCUGGUCUGAGAGGACGACCAGCCACACUGGGACUGAGACACGGCCCAGACUCCUACGGGAGGCAGCAGUGGGGAAGUUUGGACAAUGGGCGAAAGCCUGAUCCAGCAAUGCCGCGUGCAGGAUGGAGGCCUUCGGGUUGUAAACUGCUUUUGUACGGAACGAAAAGCUUCGGGCUAAUACCCUGGAGUCAUGACGGUACCGUAAGAAUAAGCACCGGCUAACUACGUGCCAGCCGCCGCCGUAAGAC
rnacentral:rRNA from 1 species